CCCUUCCCCCACUAUCCUCUCCACCCGCUCCUAGGGGCUGGAGUCUGGAAAACCACGCGGGAGGAGGUUGUGGGGAUAUGGACGAGCAUCCGAGGCCCCCGGUUACAGACGUUCCACGUUCCGUCUCCCUGUGCCAGCCCUCAGGACCUGAGCAGCGGCCUUGCCGUAGCCUAUGUGCUAAACCAGAUGUGAGUGGAGCUGAGGGGGAGGAUCCCAAAAGUGUCCCCCAGUCUGCUCAUCCCACCUUCUCGCCCCCAGAGACCCCUCCUGGUUCAACGAGGCAUGGCUCCAGGGCAUCUCGGAAGAUCCAGGUCCCAACUGGAAGCUGAAGGUGACAAGUGGACUCCUGAUUAGAGGACAGACUGGUGAAGAGAUGACCAGGGACGGGCCAGCUAGGCACAUGUCCUGGGUGAUGGGCAGGAAGAGGGACAGAUGUCUGGUGAUCAACCAUUUGUUCAUCCAUUCAUCUAUGGAGUACUCACCCUGUGCCAGGCCUGGGCAUUCAGCAAGGAAUAACACAGACAAAAACCUGCCCCAUACAGCCAUCAUUCUAGUGACAAGCAACACAUACACAACCAUAAAAAAACUUCCAGGCUGGGUGCAGUGGCUCAUGCCUGUAAUCCCAACACUUUGAGAGGCUAAAGUGGGUGGAUCACUUGGAG
rnacentral:sRNA from 1 species